UACGUAGGGCGCAAGCGUUAUCCGGAAUUAUUGGGCGUAAAGAGCUCGUAGGCGGUUUGUCGCGUCUGCCGUGAAAGUCCGGGGCUCAACUCCGGAUCUGCGGUGGGUACGGGCAGACUAGAGUGAUGUAGGGGAGACUGGAAUUCCUGGUGUAGCGGUGAAAUGCGCAGAUAUCAGGAAGAACACCCGUGGCGAAGGCGGCUCUCUGGGACGGUACUGACACUGAGACGCGAAAGCGUGGGGAGCGAACAGG
rnacentral:rRNA from 1 species